AUACGGAGGAUGCAAGCGUUAUCCGGAUUUAUUGGGUUUAAAGGGUGCGUAGGCGGUUUGCUAAGCGGGAGGUGAAAUGCCGGCGCUCAACGUCGGAAGUGCCUCCCGAACUGGUGGACUUGAAUGACUCUGCCGUGGGAGGAAUGUGUAGUGUAGCGGUGAAAUGCUUAGAGAUUACACAGAACACCGAUUGCGAAGGCAUCUCACGAAGGGUUGAUUGACGCUGAGGCACGAAAGCGUGGGGAUCAAACAGGAUUAGAUACCCUGGUAGUCCACGCAGUAAACGAUGAUGGCUAACCGCUGGGCUUAUCAGUUCAGUGGCCAAGCGAAAGCGAUAAGCCAUCCACCUUGGGAGUACGACCGCAAGGUUGAAACUCAAAUGAAUUGACGGGG
rnacentral:rRNA from 1 species